CCUGACCGGGGGUAUAUAACGUCUCAAGGAGGAGGCUCAGUAUCCAGAUCGCCCUCAACUGUUGUAGCACAUCCCCAGCCAACAUGAAGCUGAUUUCCUUGUUGAUGGCCAUGGUUGUGGCCCUGUCCUGCUUCAUGGGAUCUGCUCUUGCCAUGCCCGAGCCCUAUGCCCUCCCAGACGCUGACGCCGGGGCAGAGGCCGAACCCUGGCGCUAUAGGCCCCAUGGACACAUUUACACCCACUACCAUAGGCCUUACGGACUCCACAGUCAUAUCCACUGGCGCUGAGUGCAGUGUACAGGACCCAUUGCCGCCAAUUAGGAUUUCUCUUUCUCUCUUUUGCUCUCUGCUUAUGUCUGUCAAAUUACCGAUACUAAUGUGGAUACCUUUCUAAACUGAAUUUUCUACUUUCGUUCGUAAUUAUUUCUUCAAGAUACUAGCUAAACAUUCAAAAUGUACUUUGAGAAAAAAUGGCAUUGCUAUUUCUUUUCAGAUUAAAAGAUGUGCAAGAACA